GUACAGGGGAUUUGGCAUGGAUUGAUUUCUCUGGGCUCCUGGAUUCCAAUAUGAGCUCAGAGAACUCCUACGCCUGGAGAUCUACAUUCUCAUUCUUUUUCCUGUUUGUCAGGUGGGACCAGUUUCUAGAAACUCACUCAUCUGCUCUGGGGUGCAUGGCAGAAAAAAGCAACAUUGGGCUGACAAAAGCUGGUGUUUGCAGCAAGUGCCAAAGAUGACAAAGCAUUUGGGUAGUAGCUGACUGUGCUAUUCAGCCGGAAGGACAGGAGUAUCCGAGAAGCAGUUUCAUUGGGACUGGCUCAACUACCCAUUCACCUCUUCUUCAGCCUCCUUGCCUUCUGCUGUAACUCCUGUAUCCUUCUGGGAAUAUUAAUAUCUCAUUCCUUCCAGUCAGAAGCAGGUUCAUCCCAGGACUGCUUAUCAGGGCACAGCACCAAGUAGGACUGACUGCAACAGGCAUCUGAGGUUCCUGCUGCUGAAUGCAAAGGAGCUGUUAUGUGAGGAGAGAUGCAAAGUCUUGAUUGCUCCUGGGCCAUCUCUUUGUCUAAUGAGUAUCAUCUCUGAUAUUUCUUUAACCAGCUGUGCCUUGCCAGAUGAAGUCAGUAUUCCCCACCUGCUCAAGGAGUGCCCACAGCAGCCUGAAUCACCAACACACCUUGUUCUGAAAUAAAUCACAACAGCAAAAGGAUGUUGUUUGUGGCAGUUGAGAAAGUGCUUAUUAAAUGGCGAGCUUUGCUUUGCAUGCUUAUGGUCACAACUUCUUUCUUUUCCGAAAAAACCUA